UGCCAGCCGCCGCGGUAAUACGUAGGGCGCUAGCGUUGUUCGGAAUUACUGGGCGUAAAGAGCAUGUAGGCGGAUGAAUUAGUCAGAGGUGAAAGCCUGGAGCUCAACUCCAGAAUUGCAUUUGAAACUACUAGCCUUGAGGAUAGGCGGAGAAGACAGAAUUCCACAUGUAGCGGUGAAAUGCGUAGAUAUGUGGAGGAAUACCGGUGGCGAAGGCGGUCUUCUAGCUUACUCCUGACACUGAGGCGCGAAAGCAAGGGGAGCAAACAGGAUUAGAUA
rnacentral:rRNA from 1 species